rnacentral:lncRNA from 1 species
GGUCACUCUCCAGGCUUGGUACUGCACAGAACAGACAUUGUGACAUAUAUCUAGGCAAAUUGCCUAGAAGUGAAUCCCCUCUCCUGCUUAAGUCCUUCCCACAGAGAGCGGUUUGAUAUGUCACUGAAACCAGCAUCCAGGUGGUAUUGCUCCAUAUGCCUGAGACCCUAACAAAAGCCUAAUUACAACUCAUAUGCCUGGAGCCAGGACAUGUGCAGGAUGCCAUGAUGGUCCAAGUUAUAUUGGGAUUCAGCCAAUAGAAGAUAUUUUGCCUGUCAUCCCUAAGCUUAGGACAAUAGACUCUGCCAAGAGAGGGGAUUAUUACAUAUUGCAGAGCCCAGCACCUAGGUGGAGUGACUCUCAUCUUUUUCUUCUACCCCGUAUAUAGCCAGCUUGGUGACCUACUAUUUGAGUCUAUACCCAGGCCCAGACCACAGAUGAAAUUGUGCAAUAUGUGGAACAAACACCUAAACAAUAUAUAACACCUUCCUUGGCUCUGUCUACAAAGGGCACUUUUAUAUAUCACUGGGACCAUCAACCAGGUGAUGUUAAUUAUCUUCCUGAAACCUGUCUACAAAGAGAGUUGUGUCGUAUACCUAGGCCCGUCAUGUAAGUGAUGUCAGUCCCUUCUACUGCCUUGGCCCUGCACUUACAGUGCAUUGUGACACAUAACAAGGUACUGCACACAGACGAUGUGAUUCUCCUUUUUGGGUUCUGCCAAAAGGAAGCAUUGUAAUAAAUCGCUUGGCUCAGUA